CCACUUGCAGGGAUGGUGCAAUUCUAAAACUUGCCUCCUUGAACUGUAGCUCAGAAGUGUGGGACUAGUGUCAUUCAUACCAGCUGAGGACUGAGAGCUCCCCAGGAAUUUUCCUUAAAAUAAACCAAAAACCAACGCUGUCUUCAAUGGAGAGAUACACUGCAAAGAAAAUUUUCUCUUUUUAGGGAUAUUCAGUGGUUGAAAAUGAACCAGAAGAAAGAACUUCAGAAGAAAGAGCUGGGAAGGAUAGAAGAGAAAAAUGAAGUGAACUUUAAGGUCAGUGUCAUAAAGAUAUCAACCUAACCUGAUUAUCGCCUGUCCCUCUGGAGAGGGGAAAAUCUUACACAACUGCAUUAAAGUUGAGAAAAAUGAGAAGCUGAAAAGAACAGGAAGUUGUACUACUCUGAGGUAGAUCAUGUUGUACAGUUAACAAAUGAUCACCACUCACAUUUUUUUUAAUAUAUAUAUUUUUAAAGCAUAAAUUGCUGAAGUCAUGUAACCGAACAAGAAAAGGCAAAUAUAAAAACAAAGCAAGUGAGGUGGGUUAUUAUUUAAUGUUCAACUGGUCUCUUUUUCAUAGGGGACUAAACAAAUGUCCUCCACUAACAGCAAUGUGUUAUUUAUGGAUUCAGAAAGGUUUGUUCUGUAUCCUAAUAAUUACUCCACGAUGGUAAUAUAAAAUCUGAAUGGUGUUCCAGCAGCCAUUUUUACUGACUUUAC
rnacentral:lncRNA from 1 species